UACGUAGGUGGCAAGCGUUGUCCGGAAUUACUGGGUGUAAAGCGCGUGUAGGCGGCAGACCAAGUCGGCGGUGAAAGCGCCCGGCUCAACUGGGCGAGGUCCGUGGGAACUGGUCAGCUGGAGGACGGUAGAGGCGAGUGGAAUUCCCGGUGUAGUGGUGAAAUGCGUAGAGAUCGGGAGGAACACCUGUGGCGAAGGCGGCUCGCUGGGCCGGUCCUGACGCUGAGACGCGAAGGCGUGGGGAGCGAACGGG
rnacentral:rRNA from 1 species